rnacentral:rRNA from 1 species
UACGGAGGAUCCGAGCGUUAUCCGGAUUUAUUGGGUUUAAAGGGAGCGUAGGCGGGUUGUUAAGUCAGUUGUGAAAGUUUGCGGCUCAACCGUAAAAUUGCAGUUGAUACUGGCAUCCUUGAGUACAGUAGAGGUAGGCGGAAUUCGUGGUGUAGCGGUGAAAUGCUUAGAUAUCACGAAGAACUCCGAUUGCGAAGGCAGCCUGCUGGACUGUAAUUGACGCUGAUGCUCGAAAGUGUGGGUAUCAAACAGG